ACCUAUUGAUAUUUCCCAGUCAAAUGGAACAACCUGGCCACCAUUAAUCAUAUCGUCUUUUCAUGUCAAUAGUCGCGUCUGUUCAUAGAUAGCUCUUCCCCAAAAAAUUUUUCGUGUACCUGCUAUCUUUGACUACUCCAUUUCUCCACCACAAAACGAUUUCAAUCUGUAUUUCUUCUCCAUCUUCCUUCCAAAACCAGAUCUCUGUGGUUCAGCGCUUCCCCCACCAAGGAUGAGAUACUAUAAUGGAGAGUCGUCUUUGAGGCUUUUAACUCACACAUUUGGUCCCGAACCACUAAACACGAAGUAGAUCUAGAAUUUCUUUUGUCGAAGGCUGUAUCAAACUAUAUCGUUGUACCUGUUUUCGCCCCUAUUUGGUUAUGAACUCUUUUAGUAUUAAAGGUAAGCUUUUUUUCUCAUAUCCCUUCGAGUUCUGCUAUGUAUCCUCUGAUUUUUUGUGAUAGAUCCCUAAUUGAAAUGGUUUUUCUUUCAUGAACAUACUGAUUCGGUGAGCUCUAAAUGAACCAUAAGGAGCAGCAAAAAGUCCAGCACUGUUCUUUAGUACUCUUUGCAAAAACCCAUAUUGCAGGGCAUUGUCUAAAAACAUGGUGGCUAUCCUCUUCUCCAGAGCAACAACGAGGACAUCUGACGUUAGUGGUCACUCGCUUGUGUCUAAGGUUGACUAGUGUAGGUAUAUAGUUCCAGGAGAUCCGCCAUAUUGUUAAUGUAAUUUUUUAUGGUAGUUAUAAAUUCCAUAGUUUUCUAUAUUAGUCUUUGAUUUUGGUCUGUAUUAAGUAACUAUUAGGAUCCAAGCUAGCAUAUUGUAAUAGUUUAAAGGCGCUCCGUACUGAGUAUUCUCCGGAAAGUUCUUCUUUCCACACUUGAAAAUCUUCAUGGUUAGCUUCUACAAGAAAGAUCUGCAAGAUCCUUUGGGCAA